UGCUCCAUAAAUGGUGACCUAAUGAAU
rnacentral:piRNA from 1 species